rfam:Raoultella ornithinolytica strain S12, complete genome.
GUCAUACUACGGUGCAACACCCUGUAAAGUAAACGAUGACCCAUAGUGAACUUCAGGGUAAAAUACGUAUCAAAUUGAAAAUUGCUGCUGACCUGGGGAAUGUUUCCCGGGUUGGUUUUCUUU